AUGGAAUUCCACCCAAAACACCCAGCGCUGGAGCCCGAGUCCCCUGCUCGUGGCCAAAGCUUCAGUUUCCAGAGGCUCUUGAAGAAGGAGACCCCGGAGGACACCCCUGACCCAUUAUCCCAGCAGCCGGGCCUCCGCUCCCAAGACCCGAAGAGGGGACAGAUGAUGCCACCACUGAGGCCACAGACUGAGACCAGCCCUGAGGCCCAUCCAUGGUCACGAUCAGCAUCUAAGUCCCUGGGCCUGGCAGGAGAGAAGUCGCCUCAGGAAUGUCAGACACCAGAGCUUCAUGUCUCUGGCCACACGACGGCCCGGCUACUGGACGGAGCCUGUCACACAGCCCGCAGUACUGAGUAAGGGCUCCGUGCCCAUAGGACGAGGUGGUGGACAGGCAGGCAGCCGGGACUGGGGACGUGGCCCUUCUCUCUCUGCAUGGGGCUUCUCCUGGGCCUGCCUGCAUCUUGCUCACCUGCAGGCUCGGCAGCAUCAGGACAGCGAAGUGCCUCGCCAUGUGGGCCAUUUCCCCUGCUCUGUCAUCUUUAAAUAGACAGGGGAGCUGCUGCUUUGCAAACCUGUCAAUACUCGGUGUCCCGCGGAUCUCUGCAAGCCCAUGGGGUGCUCCAAUGUGGAAGAACCUUUCAUACAUAGUCAGGGGCUGUCCUUAAAGGAACCUCUUUUGCGAUUUUCACAGACACAAUCAUGGACCUGAGGACAGGUGCACAGGGGCCAAUCUCGAGGGCUCAGUGAGGGCAAAGUGAGCUCCUUUCAUUAUUAUUUCCGGCUACAUAGUCAGCAGGAGAGAACUUCCGGCUCUUUUGCACAGAAGGGUGUGUCUCAGCCAGCCCUGCUGCUACAUCUCCACUGACUGAGGGACUUGUAAAUGAGACAUUCACCUCACAGUUCAGGAGGCUGGAAGUCCAGGGUAAGGCAGGAGGAGAGUGGACGUCUGGUGAGGCCCUACUUCUGGUUCACAGGUGACACCUUCUCACUGCAUCCUCAGGGGACAGAAGGGGCAGGAGAGUUCUCAGGGUCCCUUUUACAAGGGCACUGCUGCAGACUGAAUAUUUUGUUCUCUCAGCCUCCUGGUGCUUGAGUCAGUUCCGCCUUCUUUCUUUCCAGCCCUUGCUCUCAUCCUUCCUGCUUGCCGUCCACACAGCCUGCCACUCCGCAGCAAUGUUCCUGUCCACACAGCCUGGCACUCCCCAGCAAUGUUCCCCGCCAACCCUGAGACCUCCACCUGGCAGUCCCAGGGCACCUCCACCCGCCAAGCCCAAACAGGAGCUAAGCCUCUUCCUCCCGUGCAUUCCACACUCCAUCCACAGAGGCUUGGGCCACAGGCAG
rnacentral:lncRNA from 10 species